UACGUAGGGUGCAAGCGUUUAAUCGGAAUUACUGGGCGUAAAGCGUGCGCAGGCGGUUUUGUAAGUCUGUCGUGAAAUCCCCGGGUUCAACCUGGGAAUGGCGAUGGAGACUGCAAGGCUAGAGUUUGGCAGAGGGGGGUAGAAUUCCACGUGUAGCAGUGAAAUGCGUAGAUAUGUGGAGGAACACCGAUGGCGAAGGCAGCCCCCUGGGUCAAAACUGACGCUCAUGCACGAAAGCGUGGGGAGCAAACAGG
rnacentral:rRNA from 1 species